UAAAUUAAAAAAACUUAUGACAAAAUAAAAGAAUGGGUUAAAGAAUGACAAAAUCCCCCAGAAUUCCAUCAUAUAAUAAUAUACAUGUUGCUUGUAUACUAAAGCACAUUUAACGUGGAAAUUAUAUUUAUUAAGGCACAGGUGCAGCAAUUAGAGUUUGUAAUUGAUCAAUUACCAAUAGUAAGAAAUUGCUUAGUAGCGGCAAGAGAGAAUGAAAAAAUGCAAUAAAAAUAAGAAAAAAAAAGAGAGAUCAAA
rnacentral:lncRNA from 1 species